rnacentral:lncRNA from 1 species
UCAAUGUUCAUAAGUCGACCUAUGCUUUCCAUACUUACCCUGAAACAGCCACUUAGCUCUAGCUUCGGCCGAGCCUUCGUCAUAUGCUUAGUCAAAACCACUCUUGCUACGAAGUUUUUUUUGAGGGAGUCCGUUUUUCGGGAUAGGCAGGAUAUCUUGGUUUUGGAAAACUGGUUAAAAAGACGAAUGCUCCUCCAUCUGUGGUUAUUGCUUUGGGAUCCUAUAAGCUACUAACUAUUCUAGUUAGCCUGGGCUAAGAAGACCCUGUCAAGCCUUUGAUUCGACUUUGGGCAAUGCCACUUCGAAAGAAAAGGAAUCGGAGAGAUCUUUGAACAGCAGAAAAGACGGAUCUCAGAACAUAGCCAUAGUUACGGUUUCAGGGCUUAGAGAGACUGGACUGGACGCGUACCGAACGAAGAUCGUGUCUAUUUACGCUCAAACAAUCCAUAUAGGUGGAAAGCUGGAAGCUUCAAUAGUUCCCCGCGGGACCUUAGAGUGCUAUGAUGGGGUAUUUCAGUUCGUCCUUACGAGUCCAUUCGACCAUAGCGUGAUGGUACGAACAACAACUAGAUUAUAUAUGUGAUGAGUUCCCCGCCUUAUUGUGCUUAUAGAGCACUUUACGUCCCCCCGCUCGCCUUCAGCUCACCUGGUCCUUUACUUGACCAAGGGAAAAUCCCGAAGAAAUGUGCCGAGCAGAAUAGCAGCAUCAUGCUUUAAUUAAUAAGGAUGGAUGUUAAGCUAGCUCGAUCGCAGGAAAUGAUGGAAAGGUUGAAGCCCCAGUGGCAAGAAGAACAAGGUAACGGAAGGAAGAUAGAUAGAACGAGGUGACAUUGGAACUGGCAGUCAAGUAAUCAAGCUACUGCCCUUCCUUGGGCUAUGAGGGAGAGCGUAUUCUAACCUCUCCCUAAGGUCGAGAACUUCAUACCUCUCCCGUUAGCUACAUAGUAACCUCUUCCCUGUCUUGUCUUUCAAGAGAAGUGAAGUGAGCCUUACAAGAAGCCGAAGGAAAAUGAGACUAGCUAAGACUAGGGAAAGAGCGGCUAGCUAACUAGCUGAUAGAGAUGGCAAUUAGGGUUGCUGUUUCCAUUAUUAGAAUUAUAAAGUUUCAAGACCACAAUAGAUCUAUAGGAUAAGAUCCUUAUAUUUACAGCGGAAUGAUAUACAAAGUAAACAGAUCUCAAUGAAUAAAAAAUAGUAUUUAUGGCUACGCAAACCGUUGAGGAUAAUUCUAGAUCUGGUCCAAGACGAACUGUUGUAGGUGAUUUAUUGAAACCAUUAAAUUCAGAAUAUGGUAAAGUAGCUCCGGGGUGGGGAACUACUCCCUUGAUGGGUGUUGCAAUGGCUCUAUUUGCGAUAUUUCUAUCUAUUAUUUUGGGUAGGAAGUGUAGUCGCCAAAAGGCGAGUUGAACGAAGGGCCUAGGGAAGUCGGGGCUGAGCAACCUUUCUCUAGCUUUUUCAGUGGGGGAACUUGGCCUGGGAGGGGCUUCAGAUGAGCUCCUUUGAGAUCUCAAAGCGGAAAUCCUCCGGUUUAUGGAACACUUACAGAAUAUCGAUGCACCGGCUAUUCCCCAUCAUGUGCAGCUCCUAGGAUCACAGCUUUUAUUGCAUCAACAGCUGAUUCAAUUGCUAGUCCUCCAACACCGCUUACGGAUGAAGUUCCGCUUGCAUUCUCUUCUUUUUCUUUAACUAUGUCAUAUGCUUUCACAAAAGGAAAGAAAGCUGGGCAGAAAAUGGUCGCUUGGAACUCCACUCUCACUAUGGGACAGAGUAGUUUUACUAUUUAUAUUUAUAGUAAGGGGAAGUAGGUCGAUUGAAUUGAUCCCUAUCCCUACCAGUCUUUGGAACUAAAUGGAACCCGGUCUCUUUGAUAUGUAGUUCCCAUUGGCACUGACCCAGAAGAACCACAUCUGUCUCAAGCUCAAGCCGACCCAACCUGAAGAAAACUACUGAAUCAGAAUCCGCUCUUGGGAUAGGAAUUCAGCCAAUCUUUCCGCAAAAUUCCCGGGAAAAUGAAACUGUAUCGAUUUCAAUGUCCGUCUAUAGGCAAAAAUUGACUUGCAAUAAAAAAUACGGGGUUUUAGCGAGUUGAUCGAUUUGAAUGUCCGUUUAUGGGCAGAAAUCUAUUUGCAACUAAUUUUCCCGAGAAAACGUGAAAUAAAGAAAGGAGUGAAGUAGCCCAUGCGUAUAUGGGAUCCGAACGGUUAAGAGUUAUGGCUUUUCGUUGAGGACUUACCCCUUAAACUUAAGGAGCAUUCGACUGAGAUUAGAUUAGAUUAGUGGGUAGCACUUGUUGAAUUGAAUAAGAUGUUCUUGCUCAGAAUUAGGGAAGGUGGGAUCCUAUCUUUAGGAAAAGAAAGGCCUAACGAAAGCUAGCACUCUUUUCAAGCCUAUAGCCUAUAUAUGAAUUAUUCUCAGCCAUCCAUAUGGGAGUUCCCCGCCAGCCUGUGGGAGUGCCACUAUCAAUAGGAAACAGACUUCUUUCCUCCUUAUUCUAUCAAACAAGCAAUUAAAUACGAAAAGAUUGAAUAUUCUUCCAUAGGCGAAUAAUCAAUGUUAUAACGGAGUCUCAUUAAAAGGAUCCAUGUUCUAUUGGAAUCAAAUAUCCGGAUCCCUCAGCAUCAGGCGAUGUUCCAGGUGCCGUCGUUAUUCUCGAUCCUACUGAACUCUUGUUGUUUGUUAGGAUCCGUUUUCCAUGUUCUCCAUCUGUGGAGUGAAUCAAACCCUAGUCAGCAAGCAACAUUCGGAAGAUAUACAUCGUCCCUUCUCCUGUUUAGUCAGUUGCUUAUCGGUAAGCAUGAUUGUGCGCUACACAUAAUAUGAAGAAUGUAAACUAUUCUAGGAGAUAAGGUUGAGCCAAGCCAGGAGGUUUACUUACUUGCUUGUAAAAACAGAGAGCGAUGCCCAGAAAGAAGCAACAACUGGGAGAGAAGACUCACACGAGACCCAAGACUCAAGGAUGGAAGUAGCGAAAUAAGCAAUAGAAGAGAAAGCCGCAGCCGUAGUAGAUCUACGAUCAGAGCAGAAAACAAGUCAAAGGAUACUUGCCCGAAGUAAGUAGCCACAAAGGAAUUUCCUGUUGUCUCCUAGUCUGUGUAAUAGCCCCCGGGGGCUUCUCUUCUAGCAUAAACGACUCCUUCCGAACCAGGCACCAAGCAUUCCUAGAUAUUGUUCCAGUGGUGGACUAUCUCUAUCUGGACUUGCUCGCCUAACGAAAUCAAAUCAUCAAUACUUGGGCAAGUUGACCCAUACUAUUGCUGUUUCUCCUACAGCUGCUGGCGAGCUACUCUUGAGACGGAGCUGACUUCCUAACCGGCUAGCAACAGGCACUGGCGACCGAGAAAGAAUGACUUUACUUUCUCUUUAUGGUUUCCUCACCGUUGAGAACCGCAGAACUCAUUCUCAGUCACAAGUUCGAAUCCACUUCCAUCAACCAGAUCUUCCAUUGAAUAAGAACGGAUCAAACAAAGCACACCAAAUCAAGGAGCUGUGGGUGAUUCUUCCUACCAAGGCGGAAGUCCUCAACCAACACUCAAUCUCGGCUCUACGACUAGGCUACGAAACGAAAGCGAAGGGUCCGCAAGGCAUUCGAUCUUCAAGCGAAAGGGACGGGAGGGUCAAUUUCAUUCAGUUGAGAAAGGGACAGAUGCGGAUGCCGCUCUCGAAGUGACAAUACACCUCUGCCAUAGGAUGACCCGAAAACGGGACCAAAGAGCUAUAGUAUCGCAUAGGAGAAGCGGUGCAUUCUUUUUGACACAAGCUGUUACCCUAUAUAAUGAAAUAAAUAGAUUACUGAAUUCCUUCCGGUUGUUUUAUCUUUUUUUCUAUGCAUAAGGUAUCAAGUCUAGGAAGAAGGUUUGAGCAGUAGAUGAGUUUCUAAGAGAACAAAGAAGCCAUCUUAUCUUUCCACUUCUCUUUUCAAAUUCCAAUUCUUGAGUUUUUCCCUCAUAGAAACGCACUUUUUUUGCUUUUUAGGACUUUUCCAGGUAAGCCCUUAUUGCAAUUGCAUAUUUUCCGAUUCCUGAAAGAGACCUCCUGCCAGAGGAGAGUUUGCUUCUUGUUCAUCAAGUAGUCAAGUAGGCGGGGUAACCGUACCUAUGAAAGGCUGAAAGCCUGGCAUCUGUGCCCAAUGCAGUACUAUAAGAUAAAAGGCUCACAGGGGAACAUCUCAAGUUGUAGGUGUGGCUGCUAAGCUCUGUUCGGUAUAAGCGGAUUCCUACGCUUCUCUUUGAGAGAGGAGUUGAACCAACGAAACGAGUGCCCACUUUCUUUUGCAUUCUCCUCUUUCUUCUUUUCUUAGCCUUUCUUUUGUUGUAUUCAGGGAGGUACCCUUUUUCUUACCGGGAAACACGUCGCUAGCCUAAGAGUGCCCCGAAACAACACCCGCUUUAGGGGAAGGAGUAGGCGCCGUUGGAGUCAGGGCAUUAGCCUUUUCUUCAACCAUGUCUCGAAAGAAAGUUGCCAGGCUUCCUGCUAUGGCUAUGAAAGUAGCAAGGUCAAGGGAGAAAAGCAACUGGCUAACAAUCCACUGAGCAAGAUAGCAGCAAUCCAACCUCAAUUUCACUAGGCAAUCCAGUUGCCACUUCACUAGCAGCCACAAAGGGCGUAUGGUCAUUCCCCAGUUUUCCCUCACCAAAGCCUUUUAUAAGAGCCGUGGGCGAUAGCUAAGAUGAGACUUCCUACGGAGAUUGUCAUUCCUUUCCUGCUUUCUCCCGUCUCAGCAAUAUCAUUGUUUACUUUGACUAUAUUUCUCUCGCGACUUCCUUUCGAAACAAUUCUUUCUGCAUGCCCGUCUGUACCCCCACUCCCUAAACUGAUUAUUAUGACCUCCUUCAAGUCUAGUAAAAGAUUGCUUGGAUCCGGUAUUCCUAGGAGCUCUGGUAAUAGUCAUAUGUCCCCUUCCAUCGUACACCCAAUGCACAGACAUGGUACUAAUAAAUUAAUUUCUCAAACUCAAAACACAAAAGGAAAGGAGUGGAGUGUGUAGAUGGGCUUUGAAUAAGAGUUGGGUGAACUAUUGCAAAGGAUGGAUGAGAUUCUGGAUUGCCUGCCGGAAACUCUGAUGACCAAGUUGCUUCGACCUGCCUUUGAUGGCAUAAUACGUCCAUCAACGAUCUUCUUUCUUUUCUUAGUCGAGCGGAGACCUGCUAAUCUGCGCUUCCAUUCGCCAUAACAUAGACCUGAAGCCAAGCCAUUGACGAGCCCUCGUUAGCUUAGCUUGAAAGCCUACGUUUCUUGCGAGAGAAGACUGCUUCGAUUCGUUUGGUUUCCCUUUCCCACUAUGAAAGAGAAAAGCCUUUCUUUGCCUGCGGAUUCCCCUUCCUUACUGGAAGAACUCUAUGACUCGCAUCCGCUUUCCCACUGUAAUGGAAAGGAAUGCCUACCGCUCAACUCCGUUUCAUGCUUGAGGAAAGAAAGAUGAUAGAAAAGGUUCAAUAUUAGCGAAUUGCCUCUGACUACUCUUCCAAGGCUGGUAGAGCUAUCGGAUUCCCAUUCACUUAGUAAACUUCUUUGAUCACCCCUUCUGUGAGCUACAUAAUCGAUUCUCUUUCUGAAUGGAAAAGAGAUUGGAAUCGGUUUCGUUUAGCUUUCAUUUAAGAGUGAAAGGGAAAGCAUACAAUCUUCAUGGUGAAGGACCUCUACUGCCUCUACUAGUCCUUAUGUAUUAAGCACGCCCUUCCUUCUUGCUAUGCUAUGAAGAAUCCCCAGCCGUCUUUGCUUUGGUCUGCGAAUGCUACCUCUUCUACUGCCUUCUCAACGGGUAAUGAACCAAAGGCAGUGUCUGAACGUGAGGCCUCAUCCUUCGCCUUUUUCACUACCCCUUUGAAAGAAAGCAGAAAACGCUGGUUCUGAUUAAGAGUUCUUGUUUUCGCUUCCUUGAUCGGGGUAAUUUGCUUCCGCAUCCCCUGAAUGAACGUAUAAAACCGAUCGUCUAGCUUCUGGAGUUAGAGCUGCUUUCUUUAGUGUCCUCGUGCGAACUACAAAUGUAUGGGUCUCGGACAAAGAAAGUCGAUAAAGCCUGCUUUCAGACAGAGAUCCGGGAUUCCCACUCAAUAGUGAAGUAGAUGCCUUAGUUCCACAGUGAAACUCCGAGAAGAGAGUAGAGAUGGGUUUACUUCAAGCUGGGGAAGGAAAAGGAUAAGACUAUCAUACAAUAAUCCACUUUUAGAUAGGGCAUUACCGGGUAACCAUAAAGAGAAUAAGAGAAGAUGUGAAGAAUUUCCUAUAUCCCAGGACAGUUACAUUUCUUUAUGGUUGGUGAUUCCUUCUUUCGUAACAUGUCUCUCUGGUACUACUCAUUCUUUCCUUUCUGGCUCCACUACUCUACUCUGACGGCUGAACCUGUCCUCUCCUUCCCCUCCACUCCCCGAGCGAAGCGACCCUUCCCGUGAAAGCGGGGUAAGCUAUCUGUCAAAUACAAAUCUUUCUCGACUCAUAGCUUUAGGCAAAGCUUUUGGCACUAGCCAUUCUUUCUGGCACUCGUUUUUGGUUUUUCUAGUCCUUUUCUUUGAAGAAAGCCUCUCUCUCUUUUCGUCCUAUAGCUAAGGUUGUCCGAUUCGACAAGGGUAGAAGUCCUAUCCGACCCAACCCCAGAACUAAAAUAAAUGGCGAUAUCUAAUAAAUCGUCUCCAUUUUUUCGAACUAAUUCAUAGGCGCUAACAGAUGAUGAGAUUAUAAGCACUCCUAACUGGAAGCUAUAGUAAAGGUCUCUGGAAUGAACGAUUCCUUUUUCUUUUAAAGAAAGAAAACCUUAAUUAAAGAGCAUACUGCGUGAAGAGUUAACGUAAAAAAAUCGAUGGAAGCUGAACUGGAAUUGAAUUACUUAUUAAAAAGAUAAGUCUUUCUUAUUUUGAUACCUUUCGAUCUUGGCAUGGCUCAGUGACGUUGGCUUAACGGUAUGCUCGGACUUCUUCACAGCAGUUCCCACCAGACUUUAAGUCAAAAAGGCGGUCUUCGCCAUGGGAGCCUUUAAAGCCCCCUGGCCGGACGGUUUUAAGCCUAUCUUAUACCAGAAGUGCUGGGAAAUAGUGUAAGGAGAUUUAGUGUCAAUAGUGCAAAAAGCCUUCACAACAGCAUCGUUGGAGGAGAGUCUCAACCAUACCUUCAUCGUCCUAAUCCCGAAAGUUAACGCACCCCAGUCUUUUGGCCAGUUCAGACCCAUUAGCCUGUGUAACGUGGCAUACAAGGUGAAAAAAAGUCAUAGCUAAUAGGCUCAGAAAAAUCAUGCCUAACUACACCCCACCCAACCGCCCUCCAUCCUUUAUGUUGCAUCAUUGCAUAUAGAUGAUGAUAUUUUAUAAAAACUCAAAAAGACAAGCGUGCCCCUCCCGUCCUCAGAAAAGAGUUUGACAGAGAGGUUUAGAACAUACUGGAUCACAGGACCGUGGGUCAGAGCUAGAAGAAUAUAAGGAAAGAUUACUCGGUUCAGUGGAAGGGUGAGUCAGAGACUGAUGCAAGAUGGGAAGAGAGAUUGAAUGGAAAAGAAUGUCGACAGAAAGGAAGGUCUCAUUCCAGUUUGAUUUCCAUGCCUGCAGGAAAGAUAGAAGAUCGGGAAUGCCGAAAUUGAAUAAUAUCUGUUUGUUUGUGAUUCAAAGCAAAGUGCUUGAACUGCACUUUUUCCUUCAAUAGGUAAGGGCGCGUUAGCGCCCCUUGAUCAAAGACCGGUUACACCGAAUCAAUCAUGAAGUUCUACCCUUGGUACCGAGCGAGGAUUGGGGGAUCACUUUCAUCCGCAUCUCUUUCUUUUGUUUUCUUCUCUUAUGCCGGGUCUGGGGAAAUGAAUUUCGAACUGAAAGUAUGAAUAUACAAUUUACCACGAGCGAGAACUAGAAACAUAAUAAGAUAAGCAAGCGAAAGGCUAGAAUGAUUUAAAUAACGUACAAACGCGAAGAAAACCUCCUGCAGUACCGGCCGUGUCCUUGGCUCUCACUCCCAUGAAUCAGAUAGUGCCAUACGUCCCACCACAACCGUCCGAUCCUCUGAUGGAGAAGAUCAGUCGCCUUGAACGGGCAGUUAAUAAGUUGAGUAGGGACAAGUAUGAUGUUGCAGAUCUUGAGAAUCUCUCCUUAUACCCCAAAGUCAGGCUUCCGUACGGUUUUCAGUGGCCAUAGAAAAGUUAUGGAUAAAGCGGGUUUCGUCUCAUUUUCCGGAAAGCCAGUCAUACUAUUCCACUUUAGCUAAGCUAAUGAUGAAACAGGAUCUGGAUUUGUCUGCAGAUGAUGAUGUCCACUCCUGGCUCGAUGCGCUUAACGAAAGGGAACUCCCUAGAUUAAGAAUGAAUUUCCUUCGUAAUUAAGCAGCAUCCUUUAAGUGAGUAGGGGUGCGCCGGACCGCCGACGAAUGAAUAAUAGGUAGCCCCACACCCCAGGCAGAGUUAGUGAGCCGUGUAAUAGGCGACCAUUUCGCGCGGUUCGGGGGGCACUUGAGUCAGCCGCCGGCGCCCGACUGCGUCUUGACCCCUAUCCAAUUUUUGGGCCAAUUCCCCCUUCGUACUACCAAAAAAUGAGAUUCUUGCCGAAUCCGAGUUUGCUGCUCCAACCAUUACCAAACUAAUACCUAUUCUGUUUAGUACUUCAGGUGCUUCUGUUGCGUAUAAUGUAAAUCCCGUAGCGGAUCAAUUCCAACGAGCCUUUCAAACAAGUACUUUUUGUAAUCGACUCUAUAGCUUCUUCAAUAAACGCUGGUUCUUCGAUCAAGUUUUGAAUGACUUUCUAGUCAGAUCGUUCCUGCGUUUCGGAUAUGAAGUCUCAUUCGAAGCUUUAGACAAAGGUGCUAUUGAGAUAUUGGGCCCUUAUGGUAUAUCGUACACAUUCCGACGAUUGGCCGAGCGGAUAAGUCAACUUCAAAGUGGAUUUGUUGUGCGAAGAGUGCGUUAUGACCCGUGGCCGCCUGCCUGGUCAGGUGGGGUCCUCCGUUGUGGGUAAACGGGAAACCCGACUCUACGAACCCGAGGAAAGGCUGCACAGCAGUAGUAGGGGCGUUAAGACCGGAGCUUUUUGUAGUGCUAGCAGGAAUGCAAGUGAAUGAAUCCCAUCCCCUAGCGAGUGAAGUGCUUACCCCCCUUUUAGAGAAAGGGGCGCGCUAGCGCUUAAAUAAUAAUAGAAAGGUUAGGGGGCUGAGAAAAGCUUGCUGUCUACUUCUCGAGCCUUCACUGCCCCGUUCUGUAACUUCCCUUCUUUAGUCCGUCCACGAGGCUGUAAAAAGAUAGAUAGGGGCGGCUAUAUAGCGGGAGUCGUUUCGGUUGUAUGCCACGAGGUCCCUAUGGACAAGGGGAAUCAUCGCUUUUGGGCGCAGGCAGCCCUCUACCAUCCAUCCCAUUGCAUUCCAUCGUCUCGUAUUGUACUGUACCGUACCAAACCAGAUACAUCUAUUGAGUGAGAGAAAGGUAGCUUCUCUAUAGAUAUAUUAUUUAUUCAUUUUUGAUAUGGAUAGGGAUCCCCAGAUUCCCGUCACUACGGAUUGAUUGUCUCUACCUAACUACAUGGUAGUGGUCUAGGGAGCGCAAUUGCUAGAGCACGGGAGAAUGAAGAGUAAUGAUUUCAGCAAGAGCAGCCGGACGGACUACUAUAGUGAGUCCAGUGACUACUAGAGUAGAGUGGAGUCAAAAGGUAUGGUAUAGCAGCCUUUCCGAGCGAGCCUCUGGGAUCUCCUGUAAACCCCCAUGAUGUGGUAAAGGGAGGAUAUUAGGGGAAGCAGUGAGUGGAGAUUCCCCUGCAGAGAGCCGGAUGAGGGGAGACCUUCACGUCCGGUUCGGAGGGCGGGGAUAUCCCGACCCUACUAUCAUUAUGCCUUUGCAAUGUUACUUGGUUCAACUCUAUUUGUGACCUUUUUUCGUAUGUGGGACUCUCUAUCUUCUUGGGUAGAUAAUCGAUCGUCUUUCAUUUUGAUAGUUAGUAGUUUUUUUAAUAAUAAGUCAAGUCAAUAAUAAUAAAUAAAAAUCGAACUGGAGGAGCGAAAAGCCAGGAUGGCUUGGUAAGCAAGCAACCUGUUAUGUAGGCGCCACCCUCCAUUUCUUUCUCUUCUUUCUUUUUGAAUGACAGUUCAUCAAAACAAUUGCUAGAUCGAGCACGCGACGCGCAUAGUCUUUCAAGAGCGGGUUGUCUCCUCUUCAACAUUUCUACUACUUCCUUGCCUCCCCUUUUCAGAGAUCUCCUUGUUCUCUUCCCAGAUUUUCCUCUAAACUUUCGCCGCCUUCUUCAUCAUGUUGUUCCAUCCUUCAGGGAUGUUCGGUAGGUGUCCGGGCUUCCUAAAAAAUCCUUCCGGCAAGAAUGCUGCUUGAACAUUGUAAGACAUUGAACCGUCUCGCUCUUGUGAACACUGAUCAUAAGUGGCAAAAGCCGCCGGAAUCCUAAUUUAUUGUCCAUAAGCUCUCCUCGCUACUGUAAAAAUUGCAAAUGUCUUUUUAUAUUAUACACUGGCGCAGAUGAUUGCCCCUAAGGCACCGAUGGACCAACGCCUUCGUCUAUCACCCGAAUUUAUAGUAGUAGUGCCAGAUCAAGCAGAUAGCGCUUUCAAGGAACGAAGUUUUUUUAGUACUAUAGUAAGUAGAGGUAAACUUCGUUCUAAAGAGGUAUCCGACUCAACACAAUCAGUCACUUAAUAGGGCUUCUCACAUUGGUCCGCGGCAAAGAAAGAGCAAACCAGGCAGAAACUUGAUAUGCUAUUAAACACGGGGGGACCUCCCGGGCUUUCAAUUCCUAUUCCAUAAUAAGCCCUACCUACUAGUAUAGUACUAGGAUCAGGGUUCGUGUUCGUGUUCAAGAAUGGGCUGCUAAAGCCUUUUAUUUGCCUUUCAUGACGAUGAAUGAAUAGUCUUCUCCCUCUGAUCAUGAUCAUGGCUUGCUUACCGGGACUUCACUUUUCCCUUGGAUGGAAGUAGCCUCGUCUCGUGGCGCCGGUAUCGACCAUCGCACGAGCAGAGUGGCCAUUUCAUUCAGCACUAUCUCAACAUACAUAAGCCCAGCAGACGUAGGCUUCUAAUGGGUGAUCGCAUUCCGCAACUGUAACGGAUUCACCCUAGGUGUUCUUCCCUCUGGUCCUCGGCAACCAGCAAGUUUAUCCUUCAUCGGACAAUCUCGUGCCUGAGGAGGACUCUUACAUACAAAUGAAAGAGCCAGAGUCCGCCUUAGAAGGCCUUCUUUGCUGUCCAUCUGUGUGAGAGGCAUUCUUCCACUUCUGGCCCGAUUUCUUCUUGUCAAUUUCAACCCCUCUGUUGUGCACUAAGAACUUUAGGAAGUUUCCUGCUGUUACGCCAAAUGCACAUUUUUACGGGUUCAUCUUCAAGCCGUGUUCUCGCGCUCAAACACUGUCUUGAGAUCAGACAAAUAACCCGAAUAAACAGGGAAAGACUUCACAACUACAUCGUCAAUAUACACCACCUCUACGAUGUUGACAAUAAAGUAAUGGAAGAUGAGGUUCAUUGCUCGCUGGUAGGUAACUAUAGCGUUAUUCAGACCGAAGGGCAUCACCUGCCAGCAGAAUAGUCCGUCCAACAGCACCCGGACAACGGAACGCUGUUUUUGCCUCGUCCUCUUUGGAGAUGAAAAAAAGGUUAUACCCUAAGUGACCGUCCAUGAAUGAAAGAAUUGAUUGCCCAUAAGCUCUGUCCACUAACAGAUCAGCGAUUGGCAUUUGGUUCUCGUCUUUUGGUGGGGCAACAUUGAGAUUCCGGAAAUGCAUUCUUUCCCCCCAGCCCUUGCUCUGGGCUUUUUGUUGGGGCAAAAAUACGAUAGAUAAGGGGAUCUAAUGCGAACCUUGACGCCCGACGGGCGAUAAAGGUAAGGUAAGGGACAGAACCAAUGCUGUGUGGAAAGAUGCAACGAGGAAACCUCUUCCCGUCCCGGUCGAAAGCCGUGCAAGCAAAGACGUUAGAGGAUACUGCAUCUCGUAACGGUAGAAAGAGGAAAGGCUAAGCGAAAAAGGUUAAGAUUGCUUAAUGAGUUAUGGCCACUAGUCAUUCGGAUUUCUCCUUACUCAUGUCAGUAUUCUCACUGGGCAUUUUAGCCUAUAUCUCCGCUUUCGCUUCCGUACUCAACCGUCUCUCUCCUUAGUCCGAUCUAGCCUCUAUUGAUUGAGAGGGUUGAAGACUCCUUUUAUUUUAUUAAGGAGUCUUAUUAUUGUAUCGGCCUUGUAAGGAGGAUUAGGGAGAUCAUAGCUAAAUAAGUCGUAGGUGAAGAGAGAUAGAAGGAUCGGUGACGGAUAAGAGUAUGGAGGUCCCCUACGCUCGCUAAUGAGUAGCCCAUCCUCAUCAUUAUAACCUUCCCUUUCCCAUGGCAUACAUAAUGGAUAUAUAUGGAGCUUUGGGUGGUGCAUUAAUAACUUCAUGAUCUAAGGAAUAAGCUUUUCCACUUCAUAAAACUCAAGGAAGGGCUUUAGACCUUGGUGCAUUUGAAAAAACUACUCAUACUUCCCCGGCCACCUUGACUUCGGUCGUAGGUUGAAAGCCUAUUCCAGUCUGUAGCCCUUUUGUUUACCUUACUCAAGAUCCCCGAAUAGAAUGAAUGAGAUAUCCCUUUCUUUAAGAAGAACUGUUAGCAAGAAGACAAUUUAUCGGAUCGGCGAAUAGAUUGUCGAUCUUUAGCCAAUAGCAGUAGGAGUAGCAGUCACUGGUCUUUCUUUAGCAGGGAAAGAUCUAAAAAGAGAGCAACUCGUAGAGGAAUUCUAUCUUUUGGUUUACCCUAUAAUAGAAUAGGCUCUUAGCCGGCUCGAGAAUUCACUCUUUGUUGAGAUAAGACAGUUGAGAUGGAGCUUUCCCCCAUAGCAAGAGGGGAUUUGGCUCUUUGUUUGAAGGACAACUACUAUUUCAUCAACUGCUAUUGAAUCAGCAGAAGAAAGCAUCAAAGCAGAGGAAUAGCUAUCUUUUACAAACAAUAGAGAGUCGAUGGAAUUGAGGACUUUCUUUCUCUACUGUUUAGUAUGAGAUCGCUGCCAUAAAGAGGGAGUGAGAUUCGGCUUAAGUGAGUUCAGUGCCCCGAUAAAAUGAGUUCGCUUCGACAGCACAGCGAGUUAGUUCAGUGACAAAGGGGUCUCAAUCAACAUAAAUAAAGUACGACACCGCUCUUUAAUUUAAAAGGGUCCGGAAAUCUCAUAAAAGUCAAAGAAGACAUAUCGUAGCGGAUUCACGGUAUCCCGGAUCAAAGACUGUCCUUCUUAUUCCGCUUCGCACCUUAGGUGAGUGCAGUUACUUCCGAAUUCAAUUCUUUUUGAUUGAGUUCCGGUAAAAGAGUUAGGAACGAUCCCAAGUGAGACCGUCUUCGAGAUGCUUUGAAUAGCCGUAGUCAUCUCGUAGUCAAGUACCCCAGCGAUUCGACUCGUCUUAUCAGACUAAGAUCAGAUGCGGGAUUACCUGUUGAUUGCGGUGUGCUUGUCUUGGUUGAUUUCGCAUAUCUCUUUCUUGUUCUUCGGCAAGCUGCUCUUGCUCAAGUGGAAUCAGUUGCAGUUGGCAUAUAUAAAUAAGUAGAAGAUCCUGUCUUCUUUUAUUUAGGAAUUUAAAGAGAGGAAUCCACUGGCCUUAGCUCAUCUAGCCGUAGCUCAUUGGGCGGAUUGCUUUGAAUAGCCAAAGUCUUUUUUUGAAAGAGAAGAAUCAACAUUCUUGGAUUAGGCUGGUGCUAUCUCUUAUUUAAGAGAAAUAAUAAGGAGAAAGGCUGCCUUAGGUUUAGGAGUUUCGAGUUUUCUCUGCUUUCAUAGGCUAUCGCUCCUUGGUGCCUAGCCUUUCGAAAGGAAGCCUGUCUGUCUGUACACACCUUAUAACUCGAGUGUACCAAAAGAGAUCGGAUCCCAUCCCGAUUCAAUACUUCCGAGAUUUAGGGGUUCGCUGAGAGCUUCUUCACUCAAUUACCAAGAUUCAAUCGACUUUCUUUUUCCGCUCGCUGCCCGAUGCGUUCUUUAAAGCCCUGCUAUACCUGCAAGGAUAGGUGGAAGGCACAUGCUUCUCUUUACGACGUAAAGGAAUUACCUCUCUUCUAAUUCGAUACUAGUUCCUAUGACGUAAAAGAGUUUCAUUUCGGCUAUUACAUCUAUGGGUCAACUACUUUCUGGAGUCUCUUAAAGAGGGGAUCGAAGCAAGGUCCAAUCCCAUUAUUCUAACUUAUAAUACGAUCAUCUCACAGAUGAAGAAGUGAGCAAGCCUUUCUCCAAUGGAUUCUAACAGCGCAGACUAGGCAUCUUUAUCUGAUUUCAAUUUCUAUAUUAGUAAUAAAGCCCCUUGUUUCAAGGCUAGGGCUUCCCGGUUUAAUUGCUAUUUGAAUUUAGCAGCAUUGGCCGUAGAAUCAAAUAUGGACGGUGACUGACCACUAGAUCUGUCGAUCGAGACCUUGGUCUUCCUGCAGUGCUAUAGGCUUUUGACUCUCUCUCUAUGGGCUUCGGGCUAACGCCCGCAAUCCUCCAACGGUGAGACUGAGUGUCUUACUUUCUCUUAAGACUACAGAGGUACGUAAAGUAGAGGUCCCUCAAUUCAACUAUCUCUGAAUACUUUUCUGGGUGACCAAGACAUAGACUAAGAUUCCUUUGUAUCCGGGCGCUUACCUCGCUUGUUAGGGAUCGAUGCUUCGCCUCAUCCGUGCUCAUUGGAAACCUUGACUCUUCAAUAGAUUCAUCUUAACUUAAGAUAAUAAAAGUGGUACUUUCUGUUUGCCUUCCCGUCUUUUCUCAGCGGAUCCGCCACAUACUCCGAAGUAAGGUUAGUGACGGGAACGUAGCUAUCUUUUGGUCAGGUUUUCUGGGGGUUGGUUCCUCUACUAGAAUAGGUUCCGAACGCCUCACUUCUCUUACUUUCGGUGCUUAUCUUCAAUCAUAAGAUGGUCACCCGCCCUAAGCAACAUCGGUUCACCAUAGAUAUCUCGAGAACUUCUCUUCUUGACUAGGAUAGCGCUCUUCCUUCUCAAAGAUUUGCCUUUUCUUCACUUCUCCCAGCGCUGCUCAAGAAUCAUUCUGGUAUCUACUACUCCGGUACCUACUAUUCUUUCCGAACCUGGGGCUUCGCUUGCUCGCCCACCGUUCUUUUGUAGGGGUAGGCAGCAUAGCAUCUUUUGGUUUUCCACUUCCAAGAAAGACUUGAGUGAAUUAACCAUUCGCUUACUCUUGUAGACCGCUCUCCUCUUUGUUAUUCAAAAUCUUGGGUAGCCGGAUCUUGAUAAUUCGAAUGGGCAAAGCUCUUCCUUUGGUGAUGAAGUUGGGCCGUCUUUAUUAUGUCAAUUCUGGGUCAACCAUAUUCCCAUCCUCGGCUUUCAGCCUCAGAUACUUUCCAACCGGAAGGAUCACUACAACUUUACUCAGGUCGGGCACUACCCAAUGAGAAAGUACCGGUUACAGUACAGGAUACCACAACUAAUUCACGACUCCUCCAUCGAGCAAUGCAACUCGAGAUGGAACAUGUAUUAUUUCAUUCAAAAUAGCUAUUCUAAAAAUAUGAUAUGAACAGUAUUUUCUCAUGAAAAAUGCAACUUUGAAAUUUCGGCAGAAAAUCUUCAAACGGUGGUGUGAUCCACACGAAAAGAUACAAAAAGGCUGUCAUUGGGUGGAGAAUUUCCAUCCAUUUGCUGUCUCGUUCGCUACCUCAGGUCAUAAUUACGCCAUUGGCCCAGUUGGAGUUCUGACUAUAGCUGCAAUCUAUCUCAUAUUGGGGAGAAGUGUACCGCAGUGGAGAUAUUGAUUUGGUAAAAGGAUUUACCGGACCCCAAGCAAGAGAGCUCAGACCGGCAUAUAUUUAAAAAAAAGAACUGGAUUGACCAGCCAACCGGCUAAUACAUUUAUACAGAAAGACCAAGCUGGUGUGCCACACCUUCAACUCCAACUACUACAGGAAAGAUUCCACCUCCCUCUCAUGAAUCAAUUUGAUGGAUCGUACCUUCCUCUUUUGGAAGUUGGAACUCCCGCCAACCGGUGACUCUGGUUUACCAUUAUGAUGAUUUCCCGUUACUUCCUCUUCCCUAUUAUUUGAUUAGUGAUUAACUACGACUUUACCCUCGAAUUAGUAUGUUGUUGUUACUAUUCCCCUUCCUCUCCCAGCAAUCAAACUCCUGCGCGAAAGCCGUUGCUCCUUUUCAUAAUACUUUAAGAGCCCUAAAGUCCUUACUCUAACAAGUAAGCAAGCGCUACGCCCCUUUUAGGUUAGGAAAAAAUAGAAAUGCUUGACCCCACUCGUGCCAUUUUCUUCUUUCUUCGGGAUUCAACGGCAAACAGUCGACGUGAGGCACUAUUCCCACAGCAGCAGGUUGGAUUCUCCAACUUUUGCAAAUGAACCCCGUUCAAGCUCAAUCCCAAUAGUCUCAUCUGGAUUCGAGAACAAGGCAUUCUAGCGAAAACAGCUCCUUUUCUGUGCGUGGAUAUCUUAUACCAAUUAUUGCAAAUAACCCAAUCUUCCAAAGAGUCAAAAGAACCGUAAGCAAGAGACCUAAAUAGGGUGCGAAGAAAACUACAUCGUCGAAGGGAAGCCGGAAGCGAAGGCUAUCCACAAGGAAGCGACUUACCUUCUUACUAGCAGAAUGACAUGGCAAAGCCUUUAGCACAAUCAAGCAAUCAAAGUAAGAGGAAAAGAUCCAAGCUAGCCCAAGCCCCGAAAGGAAUCCAUCUCAACCCCUCUUACUAGAUUGAGAAAAAGCGAUCUCAAUACGAUCUUUUUAAACCAAUUUAUCACUGGCAUUGGAACGCACCAUUCUAUACUAGUAUACUGAGCAGCGUGAUCAAGUCAAGUCCUUCUCUUACCGGAUUUCAAUUAGAUUAAUGUGCGCUCGUAUGGGAGUAGAAGCCACUACUUCCCUCUUCCCCCGAGAUGAACUACUCUCGCAAAGAACCUUCCUUCUAUUCCUUACGUCAAGAGCCAAUAUCUAUUCCUUCUAGCGAGUUGCUUAUUCUCUGGGUGCACAUGGAGCUUUCCUCUUCUUUAGAAAGAGUCCUGCAUGCAUGAAAAGUGGACAAGGAAUGAAUGGCAGUUGCUAGAGCGAUAAAGACAAGGGACGUGGGAUAAUGGUAGGAAUAGCUCCUAGGAAAUAAGCAGUCGGGGCACCCGUUGAAGAUAGAUUUGCCCGUGCUACGGCCGGGAAUGGGGAGAAGGCAUAAUAGAAUGUCCUUCCUUCUUUUGAGAUAGAUGUUACGGAGCCCUUUCCCAGAGAAUCUUUAAGGAUAAGGAUUAGCCCCAUGUUUAGGGAAUCCGAUGAAGAAUCACCAAUAGACGUACCUGAAGACGCAGUCUAACGCUAACGAAAGCCCUUACGGCUUGUUCCUGAGUUCCAGAUCAGAUUGAGAGUUCAGACCAUUAGAAAUCCACUCCUUUUUACCAACAAGGGAAUGGCCAAGCACAAUAGGGAUCCGCUCGGGAAGAGGAAGGAAUUCGAGUAAAAAGGUUAUUAGGAUCCUAGCCUAGCUAAACGCAACGGAAAGGAAAAGAGCUCAACGAAAAGCAAAGAUUUCUCGGGCAAGUGCUCUAUCAAAGACGAAUUCCCUGGAAGAACAGCAGGAUUCAGGGUCAGCUCUCUCAUCAUAAAGAAGUGAAAAUGAAGACUCGGACUCGGCUACCGGCUGCCAAUGGGAUAGCACCGGAGCUACUGCCAUCCUCUUUACUUCUCUAUUCUUUCGCGCAUUUUUUCCCGGAAUAAAUCCACUGUUAAAUUCUUACACCUAAACUUCUUAGCAAACUCAGCGCCACCCACAUCUGAGACUAAAGACUUAGGAAGUGAUAUAGUCACACCUAAAUCCUUAAGUUAAGUGUAGAUAGGUAGACUUCUGCCACCUUUGAGUCGGCGAUACAAAUCUAGUCACCAAGGAUAGCAUACUUAUCAAAGCGCUUCCCCGGAUAUAUCUUCUCCGCACACCACCAAAUGGUGAGACAGUGUAAAGAGCGGCCAAGAAGCGAGAUAUCCAAGAGGUUGCCAGUCCACACGGGAGGACAGUUCAGUGAGCUUUAUUAAUAAGGAAUUGGUCACGAACGAUAAGAAGAAUCAUAAUAAAUAGAGUUGAAUGAAAUAGUCGAAUGGAGACUUUUUUCCUGUUCUUCUAUAGGUAUUAGCAUUCUUUGGUAUCUGUUCUUCCUUUCUGACAUUGCAUUGAUAUAAUUCUGACGUCAGCUAACUCUUCCUGUUGAUGAAUUAGCUAAAGAUGCUUCUUCCACUUCUAACUCCUACUCGCGAAGGGAAUAUAAGAAAAAAGGAAGGGAAUUGAAUUAACAAUCUACCGUCACUUAGCUUAUGAACCCUAUAUAAAUGACGAAUUAAAGAAUUAAUAUGAAUUACCUGUUAGCUAGUCUUAGGAAAGUGAGAUAGGCAGGAGAUGCCUGGGAGGAGUCCGCUAGAUCACGAUAAGCUCAUUAACUAAGCCUUCUAUUUCUAUUAUAACUCUGAGAUGAGAGCUAAAAUGUGGGAUUCAUUUUCGUAUGAUACCCCUUUGCUAAAGACAGCUAAGGAUAAGCCGGAAGCUAACAGAAGAACUCAUAGCUAACAAAGCUUUCCCACAACAACAAGCAAGCGACGUCUUUCUUGACCGUUUAGUAGCUUAAUCUCCCCAGGUCGGGCUUGGCAUAGUUACGAGGUUCCCGGCAUAGAAUGGAUGAGCGCUCAUGAGUUCCCACUAUCGAAUCAUCUCAGUUCCUAUUCCGGGCAUUGAAAGCUGAAAUCAAAAGACAUCAAGGCCUAAGUCAGACAAUGAUGAUCUUCUCUUAAAAUAGCAAGAAUAGCUGGUGGAGGACUCUGCACCCAGUAAGGUCGACACAGUCAGUCAGGAAGAUGCUUUGCCACCCAAUCGGCCGAAGCAUUGGCUAAUCUGUUCACCCUUUAUACCGACCAGCUGUGGUGGGACAUCCGGAGUUGCUGCACAUCACUAACAAUAGGCCUCAGACUGCGAUCUGUAGACGACUUUUGACUAUGAAAAGCUUUCAAGACCUGAGAUGAAUCUGUUUUCAUACAUACAAACAGAAGAUAGCUGUAGAGAAAAAGCCAGGUCAGAACCUUUCCUAAGUGUAAGUGCAUGAGCCUCCGCCAUGUCCACCGAAGAAAGAGUCAUUUUCUUUUCUUUAUCGCCGAGCGUCUUUCGAGUCUCAUGUUGACUUUUCUCUUUCAUGUGAUACUUCGCCUUAAGAACUAGGGCUGAGCCCAUACAACUAUUAUUGUUUUAUACUCUGCGGGAGAUUGGUAUUAAACCGAAAGCCUAACCUGGACUACUAAUGGCUUCUUCUCUUGUUAGAGGAAGCCCAGGUUCAAAGUCUUCUUUAUGUUACACGUAGCAACUCUUCUUGUUCAAUCCUUUAAUCGGAACGACGAGAGAGUGACUAAGCCGAAAAGGUAGAGCGGGAACUGGGUUCAUCGAUGACCUCAAAACCAGUAGCAACCCUAGCUUAGCCUCUUUCUGAGCGCUGUGCUCUAUCUCCUCUCUUCCCUACAGCACCCUUGCUUGAGUGCUAUGCGCGCGAUUGCUUCCUUAUAUAGCUAGCUUCUUUGUUUUCUUUUAUAAGUAUCUCCUUACUAGACUAGCUUCUUUGAGAGAGAAGGUUCCCCCCUUUCUUACUACAGGGAAUGGGAUAAUGAGGAAACGAGAAUAAGAAGGUUUGGUGAAUAAGAAGGCAGAGGCAAGCGCAGAAGGGAAGCAAGAAGAAGGAAAUAUGAAAGAACCCUUCCAGUUAGAUAAGCUGCUGUAGGAGCUUGCUAGGGAAAAGUCUCUCCUGGUUAUGUUGCAUAACUAAUAUCAAAUUUCACAGAAUCCCUUAGUUUAAGGGCAAGCUCACAAUGAAAGGAAGCUAGGUCUUUAAUGAGGUGAUCGUAACAGAUUAGUGAUGAAUCCAAUCACGGAGCUUGAAGCCUAGAUAGAAAGAAGACUUGAAUGGAAAAGGGCAAGUCGUUAAACCGAAGUUCCUUCCUAUGUCUCCCUCAGCGAGGGUUUGUGCGGUCUUCAAAGCGAACCCAGGGCAGGAUGAAAUCCUAUACCUGAUAGCAAUCCGCCCCGAUACGAUAGUGACUUGAUCUAAUAAAGGGAGCUUUAGUUGAAUCAUUUCCAACCUAACCCUUUAUUUCCUCGGAUGAGGUCUCGCUUAUUUUCUAAGAUUUCCUGCUUCGAGUGAGUUCCACCCAAUGGUAUCCCACCAAUCUCUUCCAUCUUCACCCAAUCCAGAAGGACUUGAACCCAAUAGAGCAGAAUGGCUAAUUCCAGAAAUCGAAAUGAAUAAAGUCCUGUUCUUUUACACGGUAUGAACUAGAACAUAGUUUGAAAGCCAAUCUCGAGAUCAACCUUCCACAAUCCAAUCUAUAUGCUGAGGUAUCCCCGCAAGCAGUACAACUAUCCUCCCGUCCUACCAAUCUUCCUAGUAAGGGUCAAUUCACUGGCUUGCUCUAUUCCGCACUGAGGAAGCUGUGAAAGAUUGAGUUGAGGCAAGCAAGUACACAAAAAGGCUAUCGCUCAUCCGCUGCAACUAGUGAGGGUUCGGUUGGAGCAGUUACUGUAGCAUUUGCGGUUACGGGUGAUUGACUCUUUCCUAAUAGAAGAUAGAGUCUAUACUUGUUAGGGAUAGGAAUAUCCAAUCUCAGUACUUCCUCUUAUAGAGCAGAAACUGCUAUAGGGAAGUAUUCUUCUUUGGAGCAUAUCCGUUGCGAAUCCCUUACUCAUUGGCGCAGGCUCUGAAAGAGAAGUAGAGAUGCGAGUCAAGCAGGCUAGUCAAGUACUCCUGUAAGCCAUAAAGCAAGGAGUGACUUACCCAUGCCAGCUUUCAGUCGUCUUUCUCUGUUUACAUUCUCGUCUGCUUUCUUUUAUUCCCAUCUCUCUUCAUUCUUGACUGACUAUUGUCUAAGUAGGUAAUGAUGUAAUCCAAGGGUGUAGGAUAAGGCCUGGAGUCAGCACUUUCCAGCUUUUAGAGUUUAGAGAUAGAGGUCCUUAGUUAGCCUUUGUCUCAUUUCCCCUUUCCUUACUGCAAGUUCGAGCCUUCCUCUUCUGCUUACUUCUAAUUCCUUGCUUCUGGGUACUGACUUAAACUUAAAGGAGAAUAUCCCAGCCUUACUAAAAAACUUUCUUAGCUCGCGGGACUGACUUGAAGCCUUUCUCCGAUUCUGCUUGAAUUGAGCUCUGAUGGCAUGAUGCUAGGUCUGUUUACAGCAUUGACCGCGGUAUCCUGCUUGCACGGACGGCGUGUAGGAUUGCCAUAACGUAAUAUGAAUGGUUGAAUGAAUAAAUUUUGAUUAGUAAUGUGAUUUCUUUCAUCCUUGUUCGGCGCUUGUUAUUGAGUUGGUGUAAAAGAGGGCUAAGCCCAAGACAAGAAUUCCAAUAGUUCGCUUUUUCGUUUUAGCGCUACUUGGAUACUUCAAGCCAAGAUCAGGACGAUGGGUGGGAGAUAGGGGCAUGCAUCCAAGAGCGUAUUUUAUCGUUGUUGCUUGUAACAUUAUUAACGAUAAAAAGUGGCUGGCUCUAUUUUCAUGCUUCAUGUUGUCGCCUUCGAAAUCGAUGCUUAAGUCGAUCCACUUGCAUUGGUGGUCUCUCUCUUCCCUCAUCGCAUGCGCUUCGCUUCGACCAGGGUUUAAGCCUUUGAUUGUCCGGUAGAGUAGAUUUCAUCCCUCGAUCUGGUCUUCUGUAACAAUCAGAUCUUUCACUUUAUUAAAGCUAUUUUAUUGGGGAAAUAGCAAGUCUCUUUUCUUUUCUGGCUGACUUACAGCCGGGAGGCCCAGGGAGGCGUUUGGUCUGCUUGUCGCAUACUACUAACCUAACCGCGAGUCAAUCUAUCUAUAUAUUCUUGAUGGUACGAAGCCUUUUUUCAAAGCCCGAAGGCGGACCUUAUCACUUUUUUUUCUUUUUAAAGGCGGUCCUUUUCUUUCCCCCGACCGAUGACUCGCUUGUUCAGUACUGCUAACUCUUUCUUUUUUGAGGAUGCCGUCCCCUCGGGACUACCAGUAGUUUCGGUUGUUGAAUCUCGUGCAAGUUAGGUUGUGCUUGUAUUGGCUGCAAGCGGAACGUAGGCGCUUUAGGUAGGUGUGUGUUGACCAUGCACUCUCGCGUCAUGUAAUGUCGUAUGAUAGAGGUGGUGUGGUGAUUGACCUCAAUGCUAAUGGUUAUCCCCAAGGUUCAACGAAUGAAUGAAGGAUCGUACCCGGAUAGAAAUGACGGUCUUCCUCUUAUGUCUCCAAGCCGGCCAUAAUAGAAUAGAUAGGCAAAGCAGCCAAUAGCAGUCUGUUUUAGCCUAUCGAUAGAUAGUAGGUUGCUUCCAAGCUCAAACCAUUUGAAACUGAAUUGCUACUGUAUUCUUGUUAUUGAUAGAGUGGUUUUCUCCGCCCCUGUCAAAAAAAUGAGAGGGAGAGAACUGGAAGAGAGAAGGCGCAGGUUUGGAACCCUAAACUACAAGAGGCUAGCGUGCAAAGGCUUUCUGGGGGCUCGCUUCAAAAAGCGGAGCUUGCUUUCUACUAAACGAGCCUUCACUGCCCGCCCGGCCCCUAUCUUUAAUCUUAAGUAAAGUGAAGUCAAAUCAAUGAAGUGAACAGCCCAACCUCUUUGUUUGAAGCUUUGCUUCCCCUAAUUCCAAAAAACAAGAAAUAGACUUGCUACUACUAUAGUUAUAGUAUAGGAAAAAGCUUCUCUUUGAUAGCGGUCAUAGGGGGUUCAGAAAGAAUCUGAUCGUAGAUAGCUGUGCGGGGGUAGGGGCGGAUGUAGCCAAGUGGAUCAAGGCAGUGGAUUGUGAAUCCACCACGCGCGGGUUCAAUCCCCGUCGUUCGCCCAUCAAUAAAUGGACCAUUUGUUACGGAGACACAAGACAAACCUAGAAAGAAUUUUUUCUUAAAGUAAUCUCGAGGCUUUCAAACGCAUCCAAGCAAUUGGUACCCGAUUGAAACAUAGAAACCAUAGAUUCGCGUCGCCUACUUGCUGAAAGCACAAAUGGAAUGGCUGAUCAUUCAUUGUAUGAAGUUUUUAAGACCUCACUAAUCAGCCUUACACUUUUUUUAGUUCAUAAUGAAUGAAAUGAACCCCCGGAUGAAGAGACAUUCUCCCCUCCCUAUUACUAAACCAUGGGGAGCCCCGACUAGUUUACCGGGCAAAUUUAGUUGUCGUGACGAUACCUUUCUUAGUGGAAGAUCGGAAAAGACUUCUUCACGAGACUGAUCGGAUCCGCCGUAGACACCCGAGAGACCUCCACAAGGCAGGCUAAAAGAGUAAGAGGACAACAAAGAGUUACGCUUUCUUUUCUUUUCUCUUCCCUUGAACUUGAACCUGGUAUUCCCGCAAAAAACGAAUUGAACCGGGUCUGGCUGAGCCCUUCUGUCCAUCCAUACAAAGAACCGAUUCUUGUGCAAAGCGGUGUCGACUCUUUAAACGACAUCGUCCGCAAAUCGAGAUCUAUUGGAGAGAGUCAUCGAAUCGUCCUUGAUUCCUCGAUUUCAUUUCGCUAAUCGUUUGGUAAAGGCUAGGAAAAGGUCAGCCCGUCAUGAAAUUCCUUGUCAGGAAGGGUUAGCCCCAAGCCAGCCUUAUCUUCUCUUGGAUAUCCAAAAAGGCAACAUUACAUUAAAGCGGUUUAACGAGAGGUUGCUUUCCUUGGUCUUAUAGUUCGUGACCUAUAGCCGGCAGAUAGGGGCGGAGUUUGCUUGCUCUUCACUCAGGGGCUGCUCCUAAACAUGCUCUUCUUCUUGGAAAUGAGAACCUAGUUAAAGUGCCUCAUAAGGGCGAUUAUCGCUAUAUAACGAACGAAAGAAUGUUAGGAAGUUAUAUAAAGGACGAGACUCAGAAGGACAAAGCUAGACUUCCCAAGGACGAGUUUACUUGCCUUACCUUAUAGGGGGUAGGGAAGACCCCGAAAAAAAAGAUCUGUCGAAGACUGUCAAACUAGACUUUCAAUCUGCGUCAAAGAAGUCAUAAAGAGCUUGGCCCGUCCGUAAGCUCCCUCCAUAAAGGAAAAGAAUCUUAUCCGAUCGGCCUGUCCGCUCAUUCUCACAUUUUACUAAUAGGUUGAUUGAAAUGUCCCUUCCCUUAACUUAAGGCUUAGGACAGCGCAUCUUUCAGGCUUUGAAUCGCUUUAAUCGGUCAAAUUACAUCCAUAUCCAUGGACACCAAAGGCUUCCUAGCCGGAGAAAGUACAGUUAAGUCUACAGAGCCCUGAGAAGUUAUAUCUAAGCCGAUCUUGCUAAUCGCGAACCCCUCGUCUAUAAAGGAUAGGCAAUUGAGAGAGAAUAGGGCGAUAGCCCGGUUUUGAUUGAAUAUCCUUUCCUGUGCUUGUCUUGUAUUGAGGUAUACCAAAGAAAUAUAUGAGUAAAAGUAGGUAACAUAAGGUUCGAUGUAAUUGAACUCGACCUACAGGUAGUAGACUUACUUAGUGCUUGUGCUAAGGAAUAGGAAUACGGUAAGGAUGGGAAACUAAGGCAGCUAAGCCACUACACUAGUACGAAGGAGCAAGCUCCGGCCCCCGUUCUAUCCACUAAGUAAAAAAAUGAUGGGUGGAAUGGCGCGGCGCUGUAGGAACCGGUCGGAUUCCAACCGACGAAUAGAAGUCUUGCAGACUCAUGCCUUAGCCACUUGGCUACGGUUCCCUAUCAAUUCCAUGUCUUUCUCCCUUGUCCUACUUUGCUUCACAGGUGAGACCAGGAAUAACAGAUGCCGGAAUGCUUUUGGGAGGAAGGGCACAAAUAGGUGGAGAUGGAUUUUCAAAAAAACUCUCUAAAACUUUAGAAUCUAAUCUAAGAGUUCUCCCUACCUGAACCUUUUCCGUGGCGACAAUAUAAAGAAGCAUUUAGGGAUUUGUUGAUGAUCCAUGAACAAAGUUGAUCAAGCCUCUGAAACCGGACUCUUUCUUCCCUCUCGAUUCCAUCCAUAAAAGGAAAGUGCUAUAUACAGCAAGACCUACUUACUAUAUACAGAAUAUAACAAAUCAAUAUGCUUAACACCCCCCUCCCCCUACAACUCAAGAUGCCUCAAGGGAUAACAUCUGGAGUUUGGAUACUAAGUAUCGGAAUCGCAUAGUGGUGUGGGACUUCGUAAGAAGAUCCGCGAUCUGAAGCUCUGAGGAAAUGUAUGGCAUUGAACCCUGUAGAAAGUGAUGGCGAACGAAGUGCCCUAAGUGAGUUAGGCUAUUUCGAUAUGCUUUGUUCGCCUCAUGAAACACAUGAUUGUGUGCUAUUUGGAUAACACUCUUGUUGUCACAAAAGAGAAUAAAUAGUAGGCCCAGAAAAACUCCCAUAUUCAUAUUUUUAAGUAACCAUCGCAUAAUAAUAAUAUCUGAUGUAGUAUCAGCAAGAGCCCUUUACUCGGCUUCUGAAACAAGAGAACGGACCGACUCUAACUAAUCCACUCCUAAUAACAGGAAGGCUAAAGGCAGACCUCGUCCUACUAAAGGAAAGGGCUCUUUCUAUUCCGAGUUGGCCUGCACCGGUCCUAUCCUAUUCGAUUAGGAAACUGAUGAUUCUAGAGCAAGUGACAUCCAUAUCAAAUCCUCCAGAAGUUAUGCUCAACAGGAAAGUCAUUAAGAAGUGCCACAGCACUAUUGCUAUUGAUCGGACAUUCACAAUUGCAUUACCUGAAUGGAAUGGCAGCAGUCUUCUUAGUCCCAAUCCCUGCGCAUUCAAGAACAAGCCCAUCUAGGAAUAUCUAAUCCCUUGGGUACGAACUAGCAUUCGAUUCUGUGUACGUGGUAAACUCUUGAUCCUUUAAAGAGAAAGAGGGCAUCAACAAUUUAACUUCCUUGCCGCUGGCUUUUCAACUAACUGGCCAGGAGAGUUUACUUAUGACUUCCUUAGGACUGCAAUAGGGCUUGCUUAGUCACCUCCUUAACUCAUAGAAUGCUUGAAAACUAUCUUAAUUGUGACUUGCUUUCCAAAACCAAAACAGGAUAACUCAAAGGCUUGAUCACGGGAUUUGACUUCCUGCAGACAUGGACUUUGACAGUAACUAUUGGGUGCCAUCCCGGGGCUUCUCAGGGGGAUUACGGGCUCUUGGGGAAACAAACUCUUGUGAUCUUCGUAUCCUCCUCCCCCAUUUGUGGCUUUCCCGGUUACAAGGAUUGCACCUCGUCAAGGCUUUCUUCUCAACAUAAUGUUUCACCGUCCUCGAGUCGAUCUAGCAGGACAAGUAGUUCGAGUCUGCUUUUCUGUUCAAGAGGGAAGAAAGCCAAAGCUCUCUUUCCAGAAUCACAAAAGAAUACAUCCCAUAAAGGUGUUUACUAUGAUUCUUAGUCGAAUGAAUGAGUCCUCUACAUUGGUCCUACCGGCAAUUCUCUGCUCACGAACAGCCUCAUGGGAUUCGCCUUUCUUACGUCUACUAAAAGGAAUCAAUGUCGGCUACUGCCGGGUACCUGUCGGAGAUUGACGAAUGUGAAUUAAUAUAGUAUGUUUGAAAGGGACUAAGCCAUCUCAUUGAAGACGAUUACUUCGAUUGUCUCGAGAAAAGAUAAAGAGUAUAAGGAAUAGGACAAGUUGCCCUAAGGUAAGUUACUUCUUGCUUGACCAUUAAUUCUUUGCAUAUGGGCAAAUUACUGUUUAAUAGUAUCUAAAACUACUACCCGCGUGUGAGUUGUCAGCCUAUCAAUAUCCAAUAUCAACAGGGGAUGCUAUUUGGUCCAUGUCUUAUUAGCGAAAGGGGUAGCUUUUCGCAAUCCGACAAUAAAGAAGGGAGAGACUCGCCCUAACCCGAGUGCCCGAGCGAUAGAAAUAGAACUUAUUUGUCUUUAAUUUAAUACAGAAAGACAGAUGAUAGGAACUAGCGAUCCUUCCACUGGAAGCGAAGCAUACUGUUAGGUGGGACUCCCUUUCGAGUAAGCUACGGUCUCUCCUUUUACGUAUUCGUUUCGACAUGGAUCUGACACCGGAUUACCUUACCGGCUUAAAGAAAAAAAGCACUACUCUACUGGUCCGCACCAGCGUCUAAAGAAAUGCCAAUCGGUCAAUUCAUACGCGGCAAGACACCUUUCGUUUACGCAAUAGAAGAGAAGCUCAUAAAGCCAGCACAACUAAAGAAGGCCUUACUUUCCCUUCGAAAGUGGCUUCGUGAGUUCUUGAUACUGAAUACCAAGCCUCUUUCAUCAUUCCCCUUAAGAAAUCCUUCCUUAUUGUAGGGGAGAAAUGAUGGCACCGCCCCGGCAUAGAAUGGAAUUGAUGAGGUUUACCCAGAUCUUUAUCUUCUAUCCAUGAAGAGCUCGUGACUCUUCGCCCCGUUGCUCGCAUGAGUGAAGGGAAAUGCAAGUAUCUUUAUUUCCAGGUUCACCCGUGAAGGUAGAAAGAUUCUCGUUGCUUUCCCCUUUCCUGAUAGGUCUGGGACGGUCCUUUUUCUCACCUUGAAAUCCAGCUAUUCCAACUCCCUAAUAGAAUGAAGGGCAGUUGGCUUCAUGGCUUGCUAUUUUAUAGCUGUUUACAAUCCAUAUCUGACAAUAGAAAAGGAAGUAUCCAGCGUGCUAUCCGCUGGAACGGAACAAGGGCUUGAAGAGCUUUCUUGAGGGGUUACGGGAUGAAGCUACUAGUACAAGACCCUGACUUCUCCUUUUCAAUUGAGCUUCCCCCGCUCGGAGUGGCGUCUAGCUCCUGGGUUCGUUUGCUGACUCGCCUUCCACUUUGACUUCCACCGGACCAAAA